rnacentral:pre_miRNA from 1 species
CAAGUACUCUUUUCGUCCGAAAAUAUUUAUCAUCAAAAUGGACAAAAAAAUGUAUUUAAACGUAUUUUAAUUCUAGAUAUAUAGUACAUUUUUGUCCAUUUUGAUGACAAGUAUUUCCGAACGGAGGGAAUACGUA